UUGUGACCUAACUUGAUUUAAAAUAAGUCAACGUUGACCUUUGGUUUCACACUGAACACGAACAGCAGUCUCCUGCAUGAAAGUCUCCAUGUUUGUCUGACCCAUCCAUC